rnacentral:misc_RNA from 1 species
GAAAUGCGAUACGUAAUGUGAAUUGCAGACCGUGAAUCAUCUAAUCUUUGAACGCAUCUUGCGCUCCCUGGUAUUCCGGAGAGCAUGCCUGUUUGAGAAUCGAUAAACCUUCUUACUCCAUUGGAAUUUGUAGUUAUCUACUUAAUUUAAUAUGAGUAGAUUUGGGCACUGAAAGUAAUUUCUUGCCUGGAAGCUAGCGUUGACUAGAGACCUAAUGCUCUUUAUUAGUCUGUGUUUACUUGGAUUUAUCCAUAAUACAACUGCUAUCGAGCGCUACAUUAGAAUCUUGCGGCAACUCAAACAACGAUUCAUUUUGAAUUGACCAAACACUUUAACAGUGUAUUCUUGGUCUCAAAUCAGGCAAGAGUACCCGCUGAACUUAA